rfam:Oxobacter pfennigii strain DSM 3222 OXPF_contig000051, whole genome shotgun sequence.
AAAACCUUUAAGCUGGUCCCGAGAGGCCGGGAAGGAUGAACAUAAAUGAUAUACAUUAUAUCAGGUCUUUUUAUGCCUUCCCAUAGCGGAAGGCUUUUUUGAU